rnacentral:rRNA from 1 species
ACGCACGCUGGCGGCGUGCUUAACACAUGCAAGUCGCACGGAAAGGCCCUGCUUUUGUGGGGUGCUCGAGUGGCGAACGGGUGAGUAACACGUGAGUAACCUGCCCUUGACUUUGGGAUAACUUCAGGAAACUGGGGCUAAUACCGGAUAGGAGCUCCUGCUGCAUGGUGGGGGUUGGAAAGUUUCGGCGGUUGGGGAUGGACUCGCGGCUUAUCAGCUUGUUGGUGGGGUAGUGGCUUUCCAAGGCUUUGACGGGUAGCCGGCCUGAGAGGGUGACCGGCCACAUUGGGACUGAGAUACGGCCCAGACUCCUACGGGAGGCAGCAGUGGGGAAUAUUGCACAAUGGGCGGAAGCCUGAUGCAGCAACGCCGCGUGCGGGAUGACGGCCUUCGGGUUGUAAACCGCUUUCGCCUGUGACGAAGCGUGAGUGACGGUAAUGGGUAAAGAAGCACCGGCUAACUACGUG